AGUGAACGCUGGCGGUAGGCCUAACACAUGCAAGUCGAACGGCAGCACAGUAAGAGCUUGCUCUUACGGGUGGCGAGUGGCGGACGGGUGAGGAAUACAUCGGAAUCUACUUCUUCGUGGGGGAUAACGUAGGGAAACUUACGCUAAUACCGCAUACGACCUACGGGUGAAAGCAGGGGAUCUUCGGACCUUGCGCGAUUGAAUGAGCCGAUGUCGGAUUAGCUAGUUGGCGGGGUAAAGGCCCACCAAGGCGACGAUCCGUAGCUGGUCUGAGAGGAUGGUUCGCCAAACUGGAACUGAGACAAGGGCCCAGACUCCUACGGGGGCCACAGGGGGGAAUAUUGGGAAAAGGGGCGAAGGCUGAACCCGGCCAACCCGGGGGGUUAAGAAGGGCUUUCGGUUUGUAAGGCCUUUUUUUUGGGAAGAAAAGCAGCCGGUUUAUAACCCGGUGGUCCGAAGGUAACCAAAGAAUAAGCAACGGCCAACUUUGUG
rnacentral:rRNA from 1 species